ACUCCCUUUCCUCACAAUCAUUUUCCCUUUUUCUUUAUUUUUUCUCUCACUCCAAUCUUUCUGGCUCAAUUGUUUCAGAGUCUCGUUUUCUGGUCUUGAUUUGCAUUUUGAUUCGUUUACUCAUUGAAUCGGCGAGAAAAAUGUUUGUUUGUUAAACGGGGAUCCUCAGCCUUUCUCUGUAAGAGCGGUUUACGGUAACCGAAUCUGGCUUUGUAUCGGCAUUUAGGUGAGGGGUUCGAAUCUUUUGGAAUGUGUGUAAUAGCUUUGCUAAGCCCUAGUAUGUCAUAUUGUUUUCUGGUCAUCAGAAAAGUGAAAAAGAGUUUGAUAUUCUGCGCUUCUGCGUAAUCGCAGUCAUCAAUGUCAAGUCUGUCAGUGCUUCUGGUUUUUAUUUGCAGGUUUUCCCCCUGGUUCUUGAUUCUUUGCAAUUCCUAGGUUUACCAAACUACAGUUUCCUUUUUUUUAAAGUAUUUUCUGGUGAUUUACAAAUACUUUGCUCUUUAAGAGUAACUGUUUAUUAUUCUAUUUUAUGUUGUUAUUUUCAAGAUUUCAACUUGAAUCUCCACAGUAAAAACCCAAUAUUUUCACUCAUUGAUCUCAACCUUUGCAGUUUGUUCUUUAGUUAUGUUUUACUGAGAAUCAAUCGAUCCUUCUGGCCUAGAUGGCAAAACCAGAGCUGACAUUAUCUGAUAGCAAACGUCCUUUCAUGAGAUAUGGUUAGUGCUCAUUAUUUUGUGAUCUUGGUCGAUCCUUGUAAUCCUCGACCCCAAAUAAAACCUGCCCAGGUGUAUUGUAUUUUCUGAGCAGGCUAUCUCUGUGAUUUUCUCCUGUAAUGAUGUGCGCCUCUUUUGCUUCUCUUCAAGGAGCUGCAUGCAAAGGUUGGUGGGUGACAGAUUUUUUGUAGUUGGAGCAUCAUGGAGAUUCUCGCCUCAAAAUCCAAUAAUUCAGGCAAGUAACAAGUCCAUUUUUGUUUCAGGUUGUUCAGUAGCAAUAUGUGCAGUAGAUAUUAUGUGUUGGGCAUAGGAUGACCUAGUUUUGAUGAUUGUUGUGCAUUAGAUAUUACGAGUUGGGCAUAGGAUCACCUAGUUUUGAUGACACUUGUGCAUUCUGAUCUAUCUGGAGAAUUUCUCCACAACCCAACUCAACUCGGUUGGCUUAGUAGGGACUGAUCCCCUGAUUAUCAAUGACUCAGAAUUACAAAAUAAAUGUACUGUAGAAAUAAACUCUGAGAAACCCUUUAGUACUCUCUUGAAUUCAAGUAUCUGGGUUCUUCUGGGUUAUGAGUUAGGGUUAUAGGCUUCAAUGAUAAUUCCUAAGUUGUUGAACUUUGAGGUGAGAAUCUUGAUAAUGCUACAAAAAUAAGUUGAGGAGAAGAUGGUGAAGCUGAGUUCUGCUUCCCUCCCUAUGCUACUGAAGCUGAGUUCAAGCUGAGAAGCCAGUCUGACAGAGAUGAUGAUAAAGCUUAAUUGUGUUGGAGAGAAAGUACUAUUGUGGAAGUAGUUGAAAUGGAGAUACUACAUUGUUCAUUAUUGGAGUAGCUUCAAACUUUGAUCAAACCUUUGCCAUUGGCCAGCCUGAAGUCAGUUUUAGGGGCAUUCAGCAUUCUUCAUCUUGUACAUUUUUAUACCACGUUGUUUUUGGUAAGUUGGCGCAUACAAACAGAGUCAGUCCUUUACAGGUGCACAGAUAUUUAUAAAACAAGGAAACAUCUUCACAUGUUAGCUAAGCACCAUCCUUCAAAAUAGAGAAAAAAGGGAUUAACUUGUUUACAGAUUUAAGUUGAGACAAAUUCUUUUACCUCUUUUUAUGUGAGAAGUAUGUCUUGUUAUACUCAAUCUUCAUCUUCAUUGCAUUUGCAGUGGGCUUAGAUAACAUUCUGCUGAUUUAAAGUAAUGCCCACUAUGGUUUGAAGGUAAGUAAUUCAUUAUCUGUAUUGUUGUACUUGUAUUGUUCUACUCACUCAAUCACUGAUGUAAAUUUUAUUCCCAAUGCUGGGAGAUUCUGUUAUCUUAAUAAGUUUAUUCUAAGCUAAAAGUUGAAGGUAAUCAGAGGUGCCAAUCGAUUCCACCAUGUAUGGAGAUUUUAGUGCAGUGAUUGAUUGUUAUCAAUAUUUCCUCCAUUUUUUUUAAUCUAUUGCAGUACUCUCAUC